rnacentral:rRNA from 1 species
UAAGAGGUCCCGCCUGCCCUGUGACCAUGAGUUUAACGGCCGCGGUAUUUUGACCGUGCAAAGGUAGCGCAAUCACUUGUCUUUUAAAUGAAGACCUGUAUGAAUGGCACAACGAGGGCUUAACUGUCUCCUUUUUCCAGUCAAUGAAAUUGAUCUUCCCGUGCAGAAGCGGGGAUAUAAACAUUAGACGAGAAGACCCUAUGGAGCUUUAGACACCAGGACAGCCCAUGUCAAACACCCCUUAUUUAAAGGAUUGAACUAAUUGGACCCUGCCCUAAUGUCUUUGGUUGGGGCGACCACGGGGAAACACAAAACCCCCAUGUGGACCAGGAAUACUUUUCCUACAACUAAGAGUUACAGCUCUAAUUAACAGAACUUCUGACCAGUAACGAUCCGGCAAUGCUGAUCAACGGACCGAGUUACCCUAGGGAUAACAGCGCAAUCCCCUCUUAGAGCCCAUAUCGACGAGGGGGUUUACGACCUCGAUGUUGGAUCAGGACAUCCUAAUGGUGCAACCGCUAUUAAGGGUUCGU